UACGUAGGGGGCAAGCGUUGUCCGGAAUUAUUGGGCGUAAAGCGCGUGUAGGCGGCUCGGUAAGUCUGCUGUGAAAGCCCAAGGCUCAACCUUGGAAAGCCGGUGGAUACAGUCGAGCUCGAGUCCGGAAGAGGCGAGUGGAAUUCCUGGUGUAGCGGUGAAAUGCGCAGAUAUCAGGAGGAACACCAAUGGCGAAGGCAGCUCGCUGGGACGGUACUGACGCUGAGACGCGAAAGCGUGGGGAGCAAACAGG
rnacentral:rRNA from 1 species